rnacentral:rRNA from 1 species
AUUGAACGCUGGCGGCAGGCCUAACACAUGCAAGUCGAGCGGUAGCACAGAGAGCUUGCUCUCGGGUGACGAGCGGCGGACGGGUGAGUAAUGUCUGGGAAACUGCCUGAUGGAGGGGGAUAACUACUGGAAACGGUAGCUAAUACCGCAUAACGUCGCAAGACCAAAGUGGGGGACCUUCGGGCCUCAUGCCAUCAGAUGUGCCCAGAUGGGAUUAGCUAGUAGGUGGGGUAACGGCUCACCUAGGCGACGAUCCCUAGCUGGUCUGAGAGGAUGACCAGCCACACUGGAACUGAGACACGGUCCAGACUCCUACGGGAGGCAGCAGUGGGGAAUAUUGCACAAUGGGCGCAAGCCUGAUGCAGCCAUGCCGCGUGUGUGAAGAAGGCCUUCGGGUUGUAAAGCACUUUCAGCGGGGAGGAAGGCGGUGAGGUUAAUAACCUCACCGAUUGACGUUACCCGCAGAAGAAGCACCGGCUAACUCCGUGCCAGCAGCCGCGGUAAUACGGAGGGUGCAAGCGUUAAUCGGAAUUACUGGGCGUAAAGCGCACGCAGGCGGUCUGUCAAGUCGGAUGUGAAAUCCCCGGGCUCAACCUGGGAACUGCAUUCGAAACUGGCAGGCUAGAGUCUUGUAGAGGGGGGUAGAAUUCCAGGUGUAGCGGUGAAAUGCGUAGAGAUCUGGAGGAAUACCGGUGGCGAAGGCGGCCCCCUGGACAAAGACUGACGCUCAGGUGCGAAAGCGUGGGGAGCAAACAGGAUUAGAUACCCUGGUAGUCCACGCUGUAAACGAUGUCGAUUUGGAGGUUGUGCCCUUGAGGCGUGGCUUCCGGAGCUAACGCGUUAAAUCGACCGCCUGGGGAGUACGGCCGCAAGGUUAAAACUCAAAUGAAUUGACGGGGGCCCGCACAAGCGGUGGAGCAUGUGGUUUAAUUCGAUGCAACGCGAAGAACCUUACCUGGUCUUGACAUCCACAGAACUUUCCAGAGAUGGAUUGGUGCCUUCGGGAACUGUGAGACAGGUGCUGCAUGGCUGUCGUCAGCUCGUGUUGUGAAAUGUUGGGUUAAGUCCCGCAACGAGCGCAACCCUUAUCCUUUGUUGCCAGCGGUUAGGCCGGGAACUCAAAGGAGACUGCCAGUGAUAAACUGGAGGAAGGUGGGGAUGACGUCAAGUCAUCAUGGCCCUUACGACCAGGGCUACACACGUGCUACAAUGGCAUAUACAAAGAGAAGCGACCUCGCGAGAGCAAGCGGACCUCAUAAAGUAUGUCGUAGUCCGGAUUGGAGUCUGCAACUCGACUCCAUGAAGUCGGAAUCGCUAGUAAUCGUAGAUCAGAAUGCUACGGUGAAUACGUUCCCGGGCCU